rnacentral:sRNA from 1 species
GCAGAAGUGACCCAAAUGAGUUUGCUCUCCAAGGAAACAAACCUCGUCUAUUGUCGGAUAAAUAUGAGCUGUCACCAAGUUGUUCCUACUGUAUCACCGCGCUUUUCAUCAAUUACCUGUAAGUACCUUAAGAACGAGAUCAGAUGAGAUGUGCUUGUCUUCCGCUGUAUGUUAUACAGAUAGAGAAAAGAGUCGCGUAUCCCGCCACAAUCUUGAUUGCAAUUCAUAUCAUACAUCAUAGUUCAACACGGCUUCGCCAUCUUCUGGGAGCCAAACAAUCAUAAGGAUACACUUUGAAAACGAGACUACUAGCGAGGACCCGAGCAAGCUUCACGACUUCAUCGCACUGAUAAAGCAUACUAUGAUGCUUGCAACUCUCAUUCCUUGGGGAACUUCCGGAAGAUAUCGCCUAGUUUAUCGAUAGGGGCGGCGAGCAAACCUGCAACGGUCUCAAAGGGCUAAGUGCAAAGUAAACCAGGAUUAGCAUACAAGCUGUAACCAAGACUGCAAUUCGCUUAUGCUUACAGGCUUGUCAGGAGCCGAAGGGUGGCUCCGGGUGGGGACAAACAUCUUGGUCCUCUUAAAGCUUGCGGCAAGAGUGUGCGAUUCAGAGUUAGGGACAGCCUGUUCCAACUUGACGAGGUCUUCUGACUCUUCUUCCUUGAUAUGCUCAGCCAGAUCGGACAUCAACUUCUUGAUGGUAGGCUCAAAUUCGCUAUCACUUGGAGAUAGUUGCUGGAACUUGUGCAACAUCUCUUUGACCUGGUGGACGUUAGUCUGUGAAACCGUCUGCGAAAAUUUAAGGUAAAGUAUGUACCUUCUGAUGUUCUUCCCUAUCUCUAUCGGCCAACGCCUUACCGCCGUCUACAUACUUCUCGAGAGCAGGGUAAACGACAAGCUCCUCUCCGACGGAGUGGCGAGCAAGCUCCCAGGUGAACAAGUUUUGGUAUCGGGUCUUCGUAUCCGCAUCAGUAGCAUUGAUGAUAUGGUCGUAAUACUGUUCAAGCUCUCGGUGAUCGUGCUUGACAGCGUCUGCUACACUAAUAUUGCCUGUCAUAGUGCUGGUUGUGGUGCUGGCUGUGGGGCUUGCAAAGAAACGAGUGGAGACUACCAAUGGAGAAAGGGCGGCUCGAUUGAGGAUAAUUCUAGGGCUGAAUGCUCUUGAUGAAAGCAUACAAAGGCGCGAAGUUUGUAAUAGUAGGCAAUCUUUAAGGACACAAAGAAUGGAUGUGUCAGGAAGUCCUUAGAGGACGAUAUUUAUAGUAAUUUUCACGGGCUUUGUACUUCUUCCUUCCAGCAAACCUCUGCCAUGAUUAGACUGAUAGUAGAUGAAAGUAGCCAAUAGCAAUCGAAGAAUAGGUCAGGCUUUCACAGUGAGGUCAUUCGAUGCUUUGCGCCUGCGAUGACGAGCUUUCCUAGCUUACAGUUUACAAAAGCGGAGCCGUGGUGGUCGCCGGAUAAUCAGUGACCGACUCUUCCGUCGUCAUCUGCGGAUCCCCCCGUUUUGCUUUUUGGCUUUCUAUCAUCCCGUUCCCAUUAAUUAUUCGGCCAUCAUCACAUGGAGGAAAAUGGUAUUAAGCGAUAUACUACUAUAGUAAUUGACGCGUAAUGCGAAUUGUAGUAUGCAAUCGGAGAUAUAACAUCGAUUACUGAUAGUCAAAAAAGCACAUGCCUCCCACACUUGCGGAAUGAGAAUCGACAUGACACGACGCGGCCAACUGCCCUUACGGACAGUUAGUAAAAGGAGGCAGCUGACUGGAUAGGUCAGCAGUUGUGGCGUCCGGUUUGGGCUUUCGCUAGUACCCAUGCGUCAGUCGAUACGUAUAAGUUUGCCGUAGUGACAGUAGAGUACAAACGCAGCAACGAGGUACAAGUGAUAUGCGUAGGACAUGGAUUAUUUAAGGCUUGACACGAGAAUGAAGCCUU